AUACGGAGGAUGCGAGCGUUAUCCGGAUUUAUUGGGCGUAAAGGGUGCGUAGGCGGUAAAUUAAGUCUAAGGUUAAAGUGCAGGGCUCAACCCCAUAAAGCCUUGGAAACUGAUUGACUAGAGUACGGGAGAAGUGAAGGGAACUCCAUGUGUAGCGGUGAAAUGCGUAGAUAUAUGGAAGAACACCAGUGGCGAAGGCGCUUCACUAGCCCGAAACUGACGCUCAGUCACGAAAGCGUGGGUAGCAAAUAGGAUUAGAUACCCUAGUAGUCCACGCUGUAAACGAUGACAACUAAAUAUUGCCGCGAGGCAGUGUUGAAGCUAACGCAUUAAGUUGUCCGCCUGGGGAGUACGGUCGCAAGACUGAAACUUAAAGGAAUUGACGGGG
rnacentral:rRNA from 1 species